UCAAGUUAUUAAGGGUGCAGGGCGGAUGCCUUGGCACUAGGAGCCGAUGAAGGACGUGAUAAGCUGCGAUAAGCUUCGGGGAGUUGCACGUAAACUUUGAUCCGAAGAUUUCCGAAUGAGGAAACUCACUUAGAGUAAUGUCUAAGUAUCAUUAAGUGAAUACAUAGCUUAAUGAGGGGAACUCAGGGAACUGAAACAUCUAAGUACCUGAAGGAAGAGAAAGAAAUUCGAUUCCGUAAGUAGCGGCGAGCGAACGCGGAUUAGCCCAAACCAAUAAAGUUUUCUUUAUUGGGGUUGCGGACAUAUCAUAACGAAGAGGUAUCGUAAUUGAAGAGGUUUGGAAAGACCCACCACAGAAGGUAAUAGUCCUGUAUGUUAAACGAGAAGACUUUAGAUAUGAUCCAGAGUACCACGGGACACGUGAAACCCUGUGGGAAGCAGGAGGGACCACCCUCCAAGGCUAAAUACUACCUAGUGACCGAUAGCGUAUAGUACCGUGAGGGAAAGGUGAAAAGAACCCCGGGAGGGGAGUGAAAUAGAACCUGAAACCCUGCACUUACAAGCUGUGGAAGCACAUUUCUUGUGUGACCGCGUACUUUUUGUAGAACGGGCCAACGAGUUACGUUAAGUAGCAAGGUUAAGCACUUAAGGUGCGGAGCCGUAGCGAAAGCGAGUUUUAACUGAGCGUUCAGUUACUUGACGUAGACCCGAAACCGGGCGACCUACCCAUGAGCAGGAUGAAGCGAAAGUAAAAUUUCGUGGAGGUCCGAACCCACGAGCGUUGAAAAGCUCGGGGAUGACUUGUGGGUAGCGGUGAAAUUCCAAUCGAGCCCGGAGAUAGCUGGUUCUCCCCGAAAUAGCUUUAGGGCUAGCCUCAAGGUGAGAGAUACGGAGGUAGAGCACUGAAUGUCCUAGGGGGUAUUGCACCUACCGAAGACUAUCAAACUCCGAAUGCCGUCAUCUUAUACUUGGGAGUCAGACUGUGGGUGAUAAGAUUCAUAGUCGAAAGGGCAACAGCCCAGAUCGUCAGCUAAGGUCCCUAAAUGUAAGUUAAGUGGUAAAGGAUGUGGGAUUGCACAGACAACCAGGAUGUUGGCUUAGAAGCAGCCACUCAUUCAAAGAGUGCGUAAUAGCUCACUGGUCGAGUGAUCCUGCGCCGAAGAUUUCCGGGGCUAAAACUUACUACCGAAGCUACGGCAUCAGUAAUGAUGGGUAGGGGAGCUUCCCAUACGGGUUGAAGCAUGACCGUAAGGACAUGUGGACAGUAUGGGAGUGAGAAUGUUGGCAUGAGUAGCGAGAUGUGGGUGAGAAUCCCACAGGCCGUAAACCCAAGGUUUCCAGGGGAAGGUUCGUCCGCCCUGGGUUAGUCGGGACCUAAGCUGAGGCCGAAAGGCGUAGGUGAUGGACAACAGGUUGAUAUUCCUGUACUACCGAUAACCGUUUGAGAGAAGGGAUGACACAGUAGGAUAAGCUAAGCACACUGUUGGUUAUGUGUGCCCAAGCAUUGAGGCAGUCAAAGUAGGCAAAUCCGCUUUGAUAAUGCUGGGAUGUGAUGGGGAGCGAAAUUUAGUAGCGAAGUAGCUGAUUUCACACUGUCAAGAAAAGUCUCUAUCGAGGUUAAAGGUACCCGUACCGCAAACCGACACAGGUGGGUGAGGAGAGUAUCCUAAGGCCAGCGAGAGAACUGUUGUUAAGGAACUCGGCAAAAUGACCCCGUAACUUAGGGAUAAGGGGUGCCACCAUCAGGUGGCCGCAGAGAAUAGGCCCAAGCGACUGUUUACCAAAAACAUAGGUUUCUGCUAAGUCGCAAGACGAUGUAUAGGAGCUGACGCCUGCCCGGUGCUGGAAGGUUAAGGGGAUCUGUUAGAGCAAUCGAAGCAGUGAACUUAAGCCCCAGUAAACGGCGGCCGUAACUAUAACGGUCCUAAGGUAGCGAAAUUCCUUGUCGGGUAAGUUCCGACCCGCACGAAAGGCGUAACGAUUUGGGCACUGUCUCAACAACAGACUCGGUGAAAUUGUAAUUCCGGUGAAGAUGCCGGAUACCUGCGACAGGACGGAAAGACCCCAUGGAGCUUUACUGUAGCUUGACAUUGGGUCUUGGUACUACAUGUACAGGAUAGGUGGGAGGCUUUGAAACCAGGACGCCAGUUUUGGCGGAGCCAUCCUUGGGAUACCACCCUUGUAGUACUGGGACUCUAACCAUAGGCCAUGAAUCUGGUCUUGGGACACUGUCAGGUGGGCAGUUUGACUGGGGCGGUCGCCUCCCAAAAGGUAACGGAGGCGCUCAAAGGUUCUCUCAGUACGGUCGGAAAUCGUACGUAGAGUGUAAAGGCAAAAGAGAGCUUGAUUGCAAGACAUACAGGUCGAGCAAGGAUGAAAAUCGGACUUAGUGAUCCGGUGGUUCUGCGUGGAAGGGCCAUCGCUCAACGGAUAAAAGCUACCCUGGGGAUAACAGGCUUAUCUCCCCCAAGAGUCCACAUCGACGGGGAGGUUUGGCACCUCGAUGUCGGCUCAUCACAUCCUGGGGCUGUAGUAGGUCCCAAGGGUUGGGCUGUUCGCCCAUUAAAGUGGUACGCGAGCUGGGUUCAGAACGUCGUGAGACAGUUCGGUCCCUAUCCGUCGCAGGCGUAGGAAAUUUGAGAAGACCUGUCCUUAGUACGAGAGGACCGGGAUGGACGUACCUCUGGUGUACCAGUUGUCCUGCCAAGGGCAUGGCUGGG
rnacentral:rRNA from 1 species